rnacentral:rRNA from 1 species
UACGGGGGGAGCAAGCGUUGUUCGGAUUUAUUGGGCGUAAAGAGCUCGUAGGCGGUCUGUUGCGUCGGCUGUGAAAACCCGGGGCUCAACCUCGAGACGUCGAUGGAAACCAUCUGGCUAGAGUCCGGAAGAGGAGAGUGGAAUUCCUGGUGUAGCGGUGAAAUGCGCAGAUAUCAGGAGGAACACCGGUGGCGAAGGCGGGUCUCUGGGCAGUAACUGACGCUGAGGAGCGAAAGCGUGGGGAGCGAACAGG